rnacentral:rRNA from 1 species
UACGUAGGCAGCAAGCGUUUGUUCGGAAUUACUGGGCGUAAAGAGUGUGUAGGUGGUGCUCCAAGUCUGUUGUGAAAUCUCACAGCUUAACUGUGAAACUGCAUUGGAUACUAUCCGGCUCGAGGAAUGGAGGGGAGACUGGAAUACUUGGUGUAGCAGUGAAAUGCGUAGAUAUCAAGUGGAACACCAGUGGCGAAGGCGAGUCUCUGGACAUUUCCUGACGCUGAGGCACGAAAGCCAGGGAGCAAACGGG